AGUUAAUGGGCUCUGGGCCAUCACCAAGGGAGCAGCUCUGCCACAAACUCUUUUCCUGCUCCCUGGCAGUUUCUCUUCGUGUCACUGCGCCGGCGGGAGGCCACAUACCAGCUCCUGAAGUCGGUCUGCGGACACCUGCAGGACAACAGCUGGAGCCCUUCAGCCUCUCUGAGCAAUGAGGAAAUCCUCGGGAAGCCUCUGACCUCAAGCCAGUCAGACCUGGAGCAGAGCACCCUGGAUCCCGACAGCCUGCAGGAGCUGCCAGGU
rnacentral:lncRNA from 1 species